rnacentral:rRNA from 1 species
UGAAUCGCAAGAAACAUCUUCGGGUUGUGAGGUUAAGCGACUAAGCGUACACGGUGGUGCGAUAAGCGUCGGUGAGGUGAUAUGAACCGUUAUAACCGGCGAUUUCCGAAUGGGGAAACCCAGUGUGUUUCGACACACUAUCAUUAACUGAAUCCAUAGGUUAAUGAGGCGAACCGGGGGAACUGAAACAUCUAAGUACCCCGAGGAAAAGAAAUCAACCGAGAUUCCCCCAGUAGCGGCGAGCGAACGGGGAGGAGCCCAGAGCCUGAAUCAGUGUGUGUGUUAGUGGAAGCGUCUGGAAAGGCGUGCGAUACAGGGUGACAGCCCCGUACACAAAAAUGCACAUAUUGUGAGCUCGAUGAGUAGGGCGGGACACGUGGUAUCCUGUCUGAAUAUGGGGGGACCAUCCUCCAAGGCUAAAUACUCCUGACUGACCGAUAGUGAACCAGUACCGUGAGGGAAAGGCGAAAAGAACCCCGGCGAGGGGAGUGAAAAAGAACCUGAAACCGUGUACGUACAAGCAGUGGGAGCCUCUUAAUGGGGUGACUGCGUACCUUUUGUAUAAUGGGUCAGCGACUUAUAUUCUGUAGCAAGGUUAACCGAAUAGGGGAGCCGAAGGGAAACCGAGUCUUAACUGGGCGUUAAGUUGCAGGGUAUAGACCCGAAACCCGGUGAUCUAGCCAUGGGCAGGUUGAAGGUUGGGUAACACUAACUGGAGGACCGAACCGACUAAUGUUGAAAAAUUAGCGGAUGACUUGUGGCUGGGGGUGAAAGGCCAAUCAAACCGGGAGAUAGCUGGUUCUCCCCGAAAGCUAUUUAGGUAGCGCCUCGUGAAUUCAUCUCCGGGGGUAGAGCACUGUUUCGGCAAGGGGGUCAUCCCGACUUACCAACCCGAUGCAAACUGCGAAUACCGGAGAAUGUUAUCACGGGAGACACACGGCGGGUGCUAACGUCCGUCGUGAAGAGGGAAACAACCCAGACCGCCAGCUAAGGUCCCAAAGUCAUGGUUAAGUGGGAAACGAUGUGGGAAGGCCCAGACAGCCAGGAUGUUGGCUUAGAAGCAGCCAUCAUUUAAAGAAAGCGUAAUAGCUCACUGGUCGAGUCGGCCUGCGCGGAAGAUGUAACGGGGCUAAACCAUGCACCGAAGCUGCGGCAGCGACACUAUGUGUUGUUGGGUAGGGGAGCGUUCUGUAAGCCUGUGAAGGUGGCCUGUGAGGGUUGCUGGAGGUAUCAGAAGUGCGAAUGCUGACAUAAGUAACGAUAAAGCGGGUGAAAAGCCCGCUCGCCGGAAGACCAAGGGUUCCUGUCCAACGUUAAUCGGGGCAGGGUGAGUCGACCCCUAAGGCGAGGCCGAAAGGCGUAGUCGAUGGGAAACAGGUUAAUAUUCCUGUACUUGGUGUUACUGCGAAGGGGGGACGGAGAAGGCUAUGUUGGCCGGGCGACGGUUGUCCCGGUUUAAGCGUGUAGGCUGGUUUUCCAGGCAAAUCCGGAAAACCAAGGCUGAGGCGUGAUGACGAGGCACUACGGUGCUGAAGCGACAAAUGCCCUGCUUCCAGGAAAAGCCUCUAAGCAUCAGGUAACAUCAAAUCGUACCCAAAACCGACACAGGUGGUCAGGUAGAGAAUACCAAGGCGCUUGAGAGAACUCGGGUGAAGGAACUAGGCAAAAUGGUGCCGUAACUUCGGGAGAAGGCACGCUGAUAUGUAGGUGAAGCGACUUGCUCGUGGAGCUGAAAUCAGUCGAAGAUACCAGCUGGCUGCAACUGUUUAUUAAAAACACAGCACUGUGCAAACACGAAAGUGGACGUAUACGGUGUGACGCCUGCCCGGUGCCGGAAGGUUAAUUGAUGGGGUUAGCGGUAACGCGAAGCUCUUGAUCGAAGCCCCGGUAAACGGCGGCCGUAACUAUAACGGUCCUAAGGUAGCGAAAUUCCUUGUCGGGUAAGUUCCGACCUGCACGAAUGGCGUAAUGAUGGCCAGGCUGUCUCCACCCGAGACUCAGUGAAAUUGAACUCGCUGUGAAGAUGCAGUGUACCCGCGGCAAGACGGAAAGACCCCGUGAACCUUUACUAUAGCUUGACACUGAACAUUGAGCCUUGAUGUGUAGGAUAGGUGGGAGGCUUUGAAGUGUGGACGCCAGUCUGCAUGGAGCCGACCUUGAAAUACCACCCUUUAAUGUUUGAUGUUCUAACGUUGGCCCGUAAUCCGGGUUGCGGACAGUGUCUGGUGGGUAGUUUGACUGGGGCGGUCUCCUCCUAAAGAGUAACGGAGGAGCACGAAGGUUGGCUAAUCCUGGUCGGACAUCAGGAGGUUAGUGCAAUGGCAUAAGCCAGCUUGACUGCGAGCGUGACGGCGCGAGCAGGUGCGAAAGCAGGUCAUAGUGAUCCGGUGGUUCUGAAUGGAAGGGCCAUCGCUCAACGGAUAAAAGGUACUCCGGGGAUAACAGGCUGAUACCGCCCAAGAGUUCAUAUCGACGGCGGUGUUUGGCACCUCGAUGUCGGCUCAUCACAUCCUGGGGCUGAAGUAGGUCCCAAGGGUAUGGCUGUUCGCCAUUUAAAGUGGUACGCGAGCUGGGUUUAGAACGUCGUGAGACAGUUCGGUCCCUAUCUGCCGUGGGCGCUGGAGAACUGAGGGGGGCUGCUCCUAGUACGAGAGGACCGGAGUGGACGCAUCACUGGUGUUCGGGUUGUCAUGCCAAUGGCACUGCCCGGUAGCUAAAUGCGGAAGAGAUAAGUGCUGAAAGCAUCUAAGCACGAAACUUGCCCCGAGAUGAGUUCUCCCUGACUCCUUGAGRGUCCUGAAGGAACGUUGAAGACGACGACGUUGAUAGGCCGGGUGUGUAAGCGCAGCGAUGCGUUGAGCUAACCGGUACUAAUGAACCGUGAGGCUUAACC